ensembl:lncRNA
UGGUCUGGUGCUGUCUGCUAUGGUCUGUCUGGUCUGGUGCUGUCUGCUAUGGUCUGUCUGGCCAGGUGCUCUCUGGUCUGGUGCUGUCUGCUAUGGUCUGUCUGGUCUGGUGCUGUCUGCUAUGGUCUGUCUGGUCUGGUGCUGUCUGCUAUGGUCUGUCUGGUCUGGUGCUGUCUGCUAUGGUCUGUCUGGCCAGGUGCUGUCUGCUAUGGUCUAUCUGGUCUGGUGCUGUCUGCUAUGGUCUGUCUGGUCAGGUGCUGUCUGCUAUGGUCUGUCUGGUCUGGUACUGUCUGCUAUGGUAUGUCUGGUCUGGUGCUGUCUGCUAUGGUCUGUCUGGUCUGGUGCUGUCUGCUAUGGUCUGUCUAGUCUGGUGCUGUCUGCUAUUGUCUGCCUGGCUUGUUGCUGUCUGCUAUGGUCUGUCUGGUCUGGUGCUGUCUGCUAUGGUCUGUCUGGUCUGGUGCUGUCUGCUAUGGUCUGGGUCUGUCUGCUAUUGUCUGUCUGGUCUGGUGCUGUCUGCUAUGGUCUGGGUCUGUCUGCUAUUGUCUGUCUGGUCUGGUGCUGUCUGCUAAGUUCUGUCUGGUCUGGUGCUGUCUGCUAUGGUCUGUCUGGUCUGGUGCUGUCUGCUAUGGUCUGGGUCUGUCUGCUAUUGUCUGUCUGGUCUGGUGCUGUCUGCUAUGGUCUGGGUCUGUCUGCUAUUGUCUGUCUGGUCUGGUGCUGUCUGCUAUGUUCUGUCUGGUCUGGUGCUGUCUGCUAUGGUCUAUCUCCUCUGGGUCUGUCUGCUAUGGUCUGUCUGGUCUGGUGCUGUCUGCUUGUGUCUGUUUGGCCAGGUGCUGUCUGGUAUGGUGCUGUCUGCUAUGGUCUGUCUGGUCUGAUGCUGUCUGCUAUUGUCUGUUUGGCCAGGUCUGGUCUCGUGCUGUCUGCUAUGGUCUGUCUGGUCUGGUGCUGUCUGCUAUGGUCUGUCUGGCCA